rnacentral:lncRNA from 14 species
GGUAGGUUGGCUCCUGAUUACCCAGCGCUGGCUCAUCUCUAGUUUUAGGAAUUUUAUUCCUUCACACAACCUUCAGUCACAGGUACUACCUGAGGGACUUCCACAGCCUCAGAAGGAGCUGUCAUGUUUGACACUUGAGUUUGGAGCACAAAAACCCAACACACAUGCACAGCCAUGUGAGCAAAGGAAUUAAUCUGACUCACCAAACAUGGUGUACAGUCAUGUGUUCCUUGCAGACCAGCUUGUUUCUCUUUACCCAUCCCAGCGCGCAGGCCCUGCACUCUUCUCUGGCUGUGCACCC